CGAACGGAGUUUUAACGGAAGUUUCGGAUGGAAGUUAGAACUUAGUGGCGGACGGGUGAGUAACGCGUGGGUAACCUGCCUCAUACAGGGGGAUAACAGUUAGAAAUGACUGCUAACACCGCAUAAUAUAGCGAAACCGCAUGAUUUUGCUAUCAAAUAUUUAUAGGUAUGAGAUGGGCCCGCGUCUGAUUAGCUAGUUGGUGGGGUAAAGCCUACCAAGGCGACGAUCAGUAGCCGGCUUGAGAGAGUGACCGGCCACAUUGGGACUGAGACACGGCCCAAACUCCUACGGGAGGCAGCAGUGGGGAAUAUUGGACAAUGGGGGAAACCCUGAUCCAGCGACGCCCGCGUGAGUGAAGAAGUAUUUCGGUAUGUAAAGCUCUAUCAGCAGGGAAGAUAAUGACAGUACCUGACUAAGAAGCCCCGGCUAACUACGUGCCAGCAGCAGC
rnacentral:rRNA from 1 species